CAGAGCUUGUGUCAGUGACCGAAGAAAUCAGUGCUGCGGUACAUUGUGAAAUAGGAAUCAGCAUCUAGAAGAGAGAAUGCCGUAGCUUAUCUACACCGAAAGCGUGAAUAAUGAACCACGCCUGUUAUCCUACCCCACAGAGUCACAAGAGACCCACGGAACAGGUUUCUGGCUUCAUCUAAACACCUUUCUUUGGAUAGGAAGUCAAUGACAGCCAUGACAUCAAAGAGUGUGUAAUGACCAAAACUAAGAUCAUUUUCGAUAGCGGAGCAUAUUAAGCACAGAACAAAACCGCAUUCAAUAGCUGACUUAUUUUAAUUACCACAAAUUCAACUGGCAUAACCUUGCAAAUAAUACAACAUUUCAAAGGCGGGGUAACGUCAUUGACCAGACAACAACUAGGCUGUUAAAUGCAAUUCAAUAGCCUACAGCUUUCCGCUGGAGAAGGGAGAGUUCAUUACCUUUCUGAAUAUGAUCCUGACAUCUCCUGUCAAUUGGCAACAGCUACCAAUUGACCAGACAACCUUUUAGGAGAAAUGGCAUCAGUUCCAUUGGAGAACACAGACAAGUCAUUGCAACUUAACACAUAUCCAGACCAUACAUACACAGUCUGAAGGAGAAGGUCACAGCGUGAACCAGCUUGCCGGUGUGGUUUAACCACAGGAGAGAGCCAGGAUGCCAGUACCUCAGACCAAACUUGGGAGGAGAUUACAGCCAAGAGCUUCGCCAAAGGGGCCCUGGGUUUAUCAAACCCCCAACUACACUCCACUAUCCUUGGGAACAACUCCACGAACACAGGUGGUGUGGCGCUUACUUCAUCACCCUUCCAGAAAACCAGCAAACCAGCUCAAUGGUCAAUGCUGUAGAUGUCUCUGAUCUCUCUGGAAAUCAAAGAGGAAGUAGGAACCAUAGGACUUCCUGUUAUAAAACAAAAGAGGGGCGGUUUCUGUUUAAGGAUUGUGGAAAAGGUGUCGCCCAUAGCAAGGCCGUAGCCAUGGAGUCAACAUUGGGGGGGACGAAUUCACUUUUUUAUGAUAAUUUCGGACAGAGUGCACGGUUGCCUGUCGUAGCGUAGCACAUUUAUAAUUGUAUAUCAAUAUAUUGGGGGGGACAUUUUGACCAGAUUUUAAUAUUGAGAUGCGUCCCCCCCAAUAUAUAUUAUGAUUUCGGCCUUGGCCCAUAUAAAUAUAUGGUUUACCUGGGCGCACUAGUGUCACACUCCCAUGUGUGACAGGUAAGGCUGCAGCUCAGUAGCCUUUGUGGGCAGGGGCGGUUUUAGGCACGGGCGGACCGGGCAGCCGCCCGGGGCGGCAUUUUUUCAUGUCACGUGUGGGGCGCACGAGCAUAAAAUCAAUAAAUAAAAAUCUCUGCGCCGCGAAGCGGUUUUCUCUUUUCUAUCAUUUCACUGUGUGGGGAAUUGGCAAAUUGGCGCCCCCUUCAGGCAGCUGCAGGCACCCCUGCUUGCUGAGAAGGUGCCGUGCACAGAAGCUGUGUGAAAAAAGGGGAGGGACAGACAGCUCAUCUGACUGGGUCUCCCAAAUGGAACAGACAAUUCAUAAUAUUAUAAAUAUAGGCCUAAAGUUCCUGCACAUUUUUGUUUUUUUUUAAUUGUGUGAAAUGGCGAAUUAAAAAAAAAUGGGUAUAGGCUAACUCUUACGUUUGUUAGUCUUUUUGCUAUGAUGCUUGCUAUGCAACAACAAUAUUUCGGUUUUAACUCAACAAACAGGAGCCAACAUUUCACCAUAAUAGUGUGCUUUGCAACAAAACUGUAACAAGUUCAGUUAUUAUUUAUUUUCAUUAUUUAGGUUAGGCCCUGUAAUUAGCCAACGGAAUUUUCAAAUCUGUAGGUAGUUUCAAAGACGAACAUUUGCUAUUUGCUACAACUAUAUUUUGUGACAAAGUAUAGUUUAACGUCAUAACUAAAAGUGUUCCUCCCUAAAAGUUAUAUUAAUAUAGCAUGUAAUAACAGACAUUUAGCGUGUAAGGGCAUGUUUAUGUAACCCUCCUAUUAUGUUUGGUAUCAAUUU